ensembl:misc_RNA Metazoa_SRP Metazoan signal recognition particle RNA
GCUGGGUGUGGUGGCUCAUACCUGUAAUCCCAGCGCUUUUGGAGGCUGAGGUGGGUGGAUCACUUGAGGUCAGGAGUUCUAGACCAGCCUGGCCAACAUGGUGAAAUCCCAUCUCUA